GAACGCUGGCGGCAGGCCUAACACAUGCAAGUCGAACGGUAACAGGAAGCAGCUGCUGCUUGCUGACGAGUGGCGGACGGGUGAGUAAUGUCUGGGAAACUGCCUGAUGGAGGGGGAUAACUACUGGAAACGGUAGCUAAUACCGCAUAACGUCGCAAGACCAAAGAGGGGGACCUUCGGGCCUCUUGCCAUCAGAUGUGCCCAGAUGGGAUUAGCUUGUUGGUGGGGUAACGGCUCACCAAGGCGACGAUCCCUAGCUGGUCUGAGAGGAUGACCAGCCACACUGGAACUGAGACACGGUCCAGACUCCUACGGGAGGCAGCAGUGGGGAAUAUUGCACAAUGGGCGCAAGCCUGAUGCAGCCAUGCCGCCGUGUAUGAAGAAGGCCUUCGGGUUGUAAAGUACUUUCAGCGGGGAGGAAGGUGUUGUGGUUAAUAACCACAGCAAUUGACGUUACCCGCAGAAGAAGCACCGGCUAACUCCGUGCCAGCCGCCGC
rnacentral:rRNA from 1 species